GUUGUAUCAAGAGGCAGUGAGAGAUUUGGCUCUACGACCUGCCGACAACACUUGAGUCUACGGAUUCAGCAGUGUGCCAAUUCCAACCCGCUCGGGAAAGAUACUCA
rnacentral:ncRNA from 2 species